rnacentral:lncRNA from 1 species
CAGGACGAACUCAAGUCGUCCAGGACGAACUCGUUAACCAUGGUUAGUUGUUGGAAAGCCUAUAAAUAGAGGUUAAUGUUUUCAUUUGAAAACAACUACACACUUUGUAAGUGCACACACUAUACACAUUCUCGAGAGUUAAAUUAGAAGAUCAUAUUUAUCGAGAGUUUGUAAUAGAGUGAUUGUAGUCUCUGCAGCCGACACUUGUGUUGGAAUUUGUAGCACCCGAGGAUUAUUUCUAAUACAAGAAUAUUCCCCGACUUGCUGGAGUUAUUUAUUUACGAUUGAUUUAACAUGGACUGAAACAAAAUUAUCCGCAAUUAAAUUAAAUCGAAGAAAUUGGUACGACGUAUUCAACCCCCCCCUUCUACGUCUGAUUGGACCUAACAAUUGGUAUCAGAGCUUAGCUGAUCGAUAUACAGAUCUGAGAUCCGUAACCAAUCUGAAAAGCUAGCUGUCCGUACAAUCGUAAUUUUAUCUGAUAACAAUGUCGACACACAAGUUAGGAAUCAAAGUACCUC